rnacentral:rRNA from 1 species
AUACGGAGGGUGCAAGCGUUACUCGGAAUCACUGGGCGUAAGGCGCAUGCAGGCGGUCUAAUAAGUUGGAAGUGAAAGCCUAUGGCUCAACCAUAGAACUGCUUCCAAAACUGUUAGACUAGAGUCUGGGAGGGGAAGAUGGAAUUAGUAGUGUAGGGGUAAAAUCCGUAGAGAUUACUAGGAAUACCAAAAGCGAAGGCGAUCUUCUGGAACAGUACUGACGCUGAGAUGCGAAAGCGUGGGGAGCAAACAGGAUUAGAAACCCUAGUAGUCC